AACACCACAAAUACACACAUAAAAUCUGUUUCUUUCUCUCUCUCAUUUCAUCUGCUCUCCUCUCUUUCCAGCCACCAACCAGUGCCACCCCCUUUCACUCUUUCCCACCGCCGGCGACCACCAUCCCAAGUUGCAAACUCCUUAUUAAUUCACUUUCUUCGCUAUCUCACUGGAGUUGAUGGCCGGUGAGUUUCAACCACCAACAAAAACCAUCUGCCGCCCCAGCUUCCUCUCUUUCUGUCGUCUACCGCCGCUGCCUGGCCGGAGAUUUGGCCGGAAACCAUGACCAUGUUACCGGAAAAACUUAAAACCCGGUGAAAGCUUCUUCUUUUCGCUUUACCAUUAUUUUGCAUGUUUUGUGGAAAUAAAUUUGAAGUGUCGCCAUUUUUAUUUUGGACUAUUUUUACAUUAUUUUAUUAAUUUUGGGUUGAUUUUGCUUGAAUUUCUCUUCGAUAAUCUAUGUAUGUUUGUUUUCAUGGCUGCUUGAUCUUUUUCGUGAUUUUUUUUUGGACA